rnacentral:rRNA from 1 species
AACGAACGCUGGCGGCAUGCCUAACACAUGCAAGUCGAACGAGACCUUCGGGUCUAGUGGCGCACGGGUGCGUAACGCGUGGGAACCUGCCCUUAGGUUCGGCAUAACUCCCCGACAGGGGUGCUAAUACCGGAUAAUGUCUUCGGACCAAAGAUUUAUCGCCUUUGGAUGGGCCCACGUGGAAUACGCUCGUGGUUAGGCUAAAAGCUUACAAAGGCGACCAUCAUCAACUGGGUUAAGAGGAUGAUCAGCCACACUGGGACGGAGACACGGCCCAGACUCUUACGGGAAGCAGCAGUGGGGAAUAUUGGACAAUGGGCGAAAGCCUGAUCCAGCAAUGCCGCGUGAGUGAUGAAGGCCUUAGGGUUGUAAAGCUCUUUUACCCGGGAUGAUAAUGACAGUACCGGGAGAAUAAGCUCCGGCUAACUCCGUG